AGUCCUGUGACUUCUCACAAAGACUACCCUGGCCAAGAUUUUGCUAAAUUGAAACAUGACUGUACACAGCUCCUAAACUGGAGUGGUCAAUCCCAUCUUGACACACGCACCGACAAGUCAAGUACUUGACUACACCCAGCAGCCUUCCGUCACUGAAUUAGAAAAUCAGGUAGUCCAGUGUCUAAGUACAGUGAGUUGCUUGCAAGUCACCGUGGCGGUCUCAGGUCGG
rnacentral:lncRNA from 1 species